rnacentral:rRNA from 1 species
CAAUAGCGUAUAUUUAAGUUGCUGCAGUUAAAAAGCUCGUAGUUGGAUUUCGGGUGGGAAUGGCCGGUCCGCCGUUUCGGUGUGCACUUGCUACGCCCACCUUGCUGCCGGGGACGUGCUCUUGAGUUCACGCUCGGGACACGGAGUCGGCGAGGUUACUUUGAGUAAAUUAGAGUGUUCAAAGCAGGCCUAUGCCUGAAUACAUUAGCAUGGAAUAAUAAAAUAGGACGUGCGGUUCUAUUUUGUUGGUUUCUAGAGUCGCCGUAAUGAUUAAUAGGGAUAGUUGGGGGCAUUAGUAUUCAGUUGCUAGAGGUGAAAUUCUUGGAUUUACUGAAGACUAACUACUGCGAAAGCAUUUGCCAAGGAUGUUUUCAUUAA